rnacentral:rRNA from 1 species
CCUACGGGAGGCAGCAGCGGGGAAUUUUGGACAAUGGGGGCAACCCUGAUCCAGCCAUUCCGCGUGAGUGAAGAAGGCCUUCGGGUUGUAAAGCUCUUUCAGCUGGAACGAAACGGUGUGCUCUAACAUAGCGCGCUAAUGACGGUACCAGCAGAAUAAGGAUCGGCUAACUCCGUGCCAGCAGCCGCGGUAAU